rnacentral:lncRNA from 1 species
UGUGGAGUGUUCUGGAUAUGAUGAAGUGUGCAUGGAGAUUGUGAGUGAUCAAUAAGGGAUCAGUCACUCCUAAUAAGGGAAGCGAACAUCCUAUGUGAUCUCAUAGGAUGGUAAUUCUGAAAGUCUUUUACCGAAGCAGGGUGAUAAUUAGAAAAAAAUUUUUAAUAUAUCAUCAAUUGAAUCAUCACCUUCAGAUCAAGAUAUAUAAAGAUAAGUGAUUGGGUUUGACAUAUUUUCAUGCCCAUAGCUCAUCUGAG